ACGCUGGCGGCGUGCCUAAUGCAUGCAAGUCGGGCGGGGUGCGCUUCGGUGCACUCACGCGGCGGACGGGUGCGUAACACGUGGGCAACCUACCCUGGGGCGGGGGAUAGCCACUGGAAACGGUGGGUAAUUCCGCGUACGUUUGCUUACCGGUGGGGUGAGUAAAGAAAGGCGAGCAAUCGCCACCCUUGGCGGGGCCUGCGGCCGAUUAGCUGGACGGUGGGGUGACGGCCUACCGUGGCGAUGAUCGGUAGCUGGUCUGAGAGGACGGCCAGCCACACGGGGACUGAGAGACGGCCCCGACUCCUACGGGAGGCAGCAGCAAGGAAUCUUCCGCAAUGGGCGAUGAGCCUGACGGAGCAACGCCGCGUGGGGGAUGAGGCCCUUCGGGGUGUAAACCCCUUUUCUGUGGGAAGAAGAUCUGACGGUACCACAGGAAGAAGGACCGGCUAACUACGUGCCAGCAGCCGCGGUAAUACGUAGGGUCCGAGCGUUGUCCGGAGUUACUGGGCGUAAAGCGCGCGCAGGCGGCGGUGUUGGCCCGGCGUGAAAGCCCCCGGCUCAACCGGGGAGAGUCGU
rnacentral:rRNA from 1 species